UUCAGUGAACCUUGCUGACCAGAUGUAUUGCUGGGAGGACAUUGCAUGAGAAGUGUUUUCAGUGAACCUUGCUGACCAGAUGUGUUGCUGGGAGGAUAUUGCAUGAGAAGUGUUUUCAGUGAACCUUGCUGACCAGAUGUGUUGCUGGGAGGACAUUGCCUAAGAAGUGUUUUCAGUGAACCUUGCUGACCAGAUGUAUUGCUGGGAGGACAUUGCCUAAGAAGUGUUUUCAGUGAACCUUGCUGACCAGAUGUAUUGCUGGGAGGACAUUGCCUAAGAAGUGUUUUCAGUGAACCUUGCUGACCAGAUGUAUUGCUGGGAGGACAUUGCCUAAGAAGUGUUUUCAGUGAACCUUGCUGACCAGAUGUAUUGCUGGGAGGACAUUGCCUAAGAAGUGUUUUCAGUGAACCUUGCUGACCAGAUGUAUUGCUGGGAGGACAUUGCCUAAGAAGUGUUUUCAGUGAACCUUGCUGACCAGAUGUAUUGCUGGGAGGACAUUGCAUGAGAGAGUUCAACUUAGAAUCGCCUUCAUGAGCUGACCGUGGUCUGUUUCCUGGCAUAUUUAAAAAUUCAGGGGACAGUUUUCAGCAUUGUAAUUUUGAAUAUGUGUUCCUUAAUGUUUUGUUAUAAUUGUGAUUAAAUUUGUUCAUGGAACA